GCUUUCGUGGUGUAAUUGGAAGCACGUCCGGUUAAUAAUCAGGAAGUCCAGCGUUAGAAUCCUGGCGAGAGCA
rnacentral:tRNA from 1 species